rnacentral:tRNA from 1 species
GGAGAGAUGUCCGAGUGGCUAAAGGAGGCAGACUGUAAAUCUGUUGGCGUACGCCUACGCUGGUUCGAAUCCAGCUCUCUCCACCA